UAAUGAUUGACCUUUAAUUUUGCUCUCUCAGUUUCCUUUAUACAAACCGCAAGGACGUAUUUUCCUAUUUAUUUAUCAGAUGAGGAAACAGAUUGGCACUACAGAAUUUUUGGUGGUCAUACAGUGAAGAAAUCUAAGAUCAGUAAAGCCUGAGAUCACCAACCAGAAAGCAGCUUAACUGGGGAUGGAAAGAAGAACUGUUUGGUUCCAAAGCAUUUCAACAUGUUUGGAAAUUGUCAGACUGCUUAUCACUGGAGUGAGGAGAUUUUUGUUCUAUAGGUUGUGGUAGCGUCUGCCAGUAGACAAAAUCAUCAUGAAAUGUUAAGGAUGAGAGAGGUACUUGCAAACCUUCUUAAAAGUCCAGAGGAAACAGUGACUGUGUAGUGUGAAGACUCGAGCCAUCCCCAAAGUAGAGCAGCAGCACAUGCGAAGAGGGAUUCUUAUCUGCCCUUGAUUGAGAGCCUGCUGCAUCCAUCCAUGCUGCUUCUGUUGAACUGGGAACAGAGAGGCCUGCAGCAACCAGGGAGGAGGUGGAGCGACUUUGUUGCAAUUGCUUACCCCAUAAUAAUGCAUUGUAUAUAUAGAUCAUUUUUUCAAACCAGGCUGGCAUAAAUAGUACUAUGAUUUGACCUGUUUGGUGUUCCUAUUAUCCUCUUUUGUAAGGAACCUAAUUCUUUCUUUAAAUUUAUUUAUUUAUUUAUUAUUUUUGGAAACAGAGAAGUCCUGGAGCUUUUCUUAAAUGAAAAGUACAGGGUGUCUGCUAGUAGUUCAUCUGAUGUUGAAAGGGCAGACUGUUACCAGUAUCGCCAGAUAGCUUGGGUUAGUGGGUGAAAUAUUUUCCUGAUUAUUGUUUCACAUUAUCUGGUGUUAAUACCUUCAAGUAUAUAUUGAAGCAAUUAUCUUAAUAAAGCCCUAUUUUACUUCUCUCUGCUGUUUUCUUCAUGAUUAUUUGCCAUAUGGUAAGAGAGAAUACGUAUACACAAUAAAUGUUAACAAACACACAUGAAUAUCCGGACACCUCUGUCUCUCUGUGUGUCUCUCUUUGUCUCUUUCUGCCUCUCUUUUUCUCUCUGUCUCUGUAUCUUUCCCUCUCUCCUUUUCUCCUUCCCACAGGCACACACAGACACUUCUUCUGGCUUUGAGAUAAAUCUAAAAAUACCUGCUGUUUGAAAUCACUUCCCGUGGUGAUUAAAAAGGACCUUUCCCACUGAGAUCCAAGAUAGCUUUUCUUCCCUGUGUUGAAACAGGGCCUCUGCCUGUGGUUGUCACUGUGGAGUAAGAUGUCCCUGCGAGGCAAAGCAUAUGAUGUGUACCAUGGGCUCAUUUAGGCCAGGUCUCGUUUAAAAACAAUCUUUUCCGAAGCUAUUUAUAAUUCCUUGGCUGAGAAGAAUACAACUUUAGUGAAAGUGAAUAGUAAAAGGAAGCAAUUAAAUUCCUUAUGCAAUGGUCUUUUUUAAAAGAGCGGGUGUGUUAUAGAAGGAAAAAUCCUGCGUUAGAAGUCAGUGGUCCUUAGGCUACUUCUUAGAUUACUAAACUUCUCUGGGUCCUUAUUUGCAUAUUUUUUUCUCAUUCCGUCAUUUGCAUAUCCCCACAAAAUAGGAAAUGAUACAGGGCUCUUAAGCACACGGCAUCAUACAAACUCUAAGUCCCUUGAAGCUGCUUUGAAAAUUACAAGUGCCCAUCUUCCAAGCAUUCUGAUUCUCUGGGUGAGGGCAUAGUCACCUGCAUCCUUACAUAUUUAAAAACUAUAUUUUAUCUUCAAGGCCCUUUCCAGCCCUGAAAUAGUAAGACUCCAAAAAUAACUCGCUUCUAUAAAAACUGCAUGAAGAUCAUUUGAUCAUUUAGUCAUAUAAUAGCUACUCCA
rnacentral:lncRNA from 10 species